AGGGUGUAAACGCUGCAGACUUGGUGUUGGGAACCCUUCGGGGGUGCUCAGUGCCGGAGAGAAGUUGUUAAGUCUGCUACUUGGGGAGUACGUCCGCAAGGAUGAAACUUAAAGGAAUUGGCGGGGGAGCACCGCAACGGGAGGAGCGUGCGGUUUAAUUGGAUUCAACGCCGAAAAACUCACCAGCAGCGACUGUUACAUGAAAGUCAGGUUGAUGACCUUACUAGAUUUUCAGAGAGAUGGUGCAUGGCGUCAGUGACU
rnacentral:rRNA from 1 species